GGCCACCUAGCUCAGCGGUAGAGCACCGCACACACUUGCCAGGCCCGCGGCGCCUAUGUUCGUAGGCGCCCUGAGUCUGGUGCUUUGCGGAGGGUCGGGUUCGAGUCCCGAGGUAGCCG